UGGAUUAAAGGCGUGUGCCAC
rnacentral:piRNA from 1 species